CUGUUCGUUUUCUUCUUGUUCCGGUGCUGCAACUUUUGAUCAGAAUGUAUUUUUUGUAGAGAGAUGCUGCUCUGGCUCCGCCGUGGAAUCCAGUCUAAGCAUAGCCCAAGUUUCCAGAGAAGAUAACAAGAUGAUGUSAAUGCGGAGAAGACUGGCUUGCUGCUCAAGGGAUCGAGCGGUCAGCCUUAACAUGGACGCCCAAGAUACCGUUUGAAUGGAGCGGGCCGUUGACCAAGUCAACCUUUGGAAGGACGCGGAUUGGACACGGUUAAAGUUAGUUUAAAAAGCAAGCCGAAGAAGAGAGGAGAGGAUCUAUCCUUCCGGUUCCCGCCGUUCCAACUCCUUCGCGCUCUGUAUUUUUCUACACAUUUCGAUCGCUGAAAUCCUAGAUUAGGGUUCGGUCUCCUUCAAAAUCUUGCUUCMGAAGUGAAGAAAGUGUUCAUCRUAGCUGCGUAAUCGUUGAYRGCCAUCUCUCAGGGUUUCGUUUCGGUUUCCUCCGCACGAGUAUCUCGACAUCUCCACAACGACGCCUCCUCCUCCGAUGGUGAGCCAGAACCUUCCUUCGCUAUUUAAUAUUCAAGGCGCACGCACUAGACGUAUUCCACAUUCGUUUGUCUCGAUGAGACCGAAAUCAAAAUCCCCGGGGUUCGAGUUCUUGAACGAAAUCCCUUUUAUCGAAUGAAACUGCAUCGGGGAGGUGAAUAAUGGAGGCAGUGAAUGUGGAGGAGUUUCCCCUGUUGAGUGGUAGCUGAGCCCUCUUUGAUUCUUAAAGGCACACACACUAGACGGCAACGGUAUUCAUUCAGUCUCGAUGAGACCAAAAUCCAAACCCUGGUGUUCCUCGCUGUUCCUUCGAGCCAUAGUGGUCCAGUCCAGUGUUUGAGUAAGAUGAAUUUCUUCUAUCCAGAGAGAAUUUAUACAAUUUUAUUUAAUUGCUGCGGCUUCUUUGGCUGUACAGGCCCAUAGGAUACUAUUUUGAAGGAAGUUGGCUUGGUCUUUGUUGCUUCAUAUUUCUUUAUUCGUCUGGUGAUACUUGUUGUGCUAUAUGGAAUUUACUAGCUAAUUGAUGUUUUAGAUGGUUUUAAUUGCAGCAGCCCAUCACUUGCCAUUUCCCAAAAAAAAAAAAAAAAGCCUGUGUCAGAUAAAGCUGAUUCUUGAACUUCGAGUGYUUGUAUUGGUUAAGURCGGAAAUCAAAAUCCCCAGGGUUUGAGUAAGUUCACUUUCAGUUGAUUGAGACCACAUAUCAUGUUAUUCACUCUUUUGAGAUGCUUGCAGCUAGCACCUACACCUAUCACCUAGGACCAGAGAAUAAUUCAAAUUUGUAGGUUUUAGAUACUUUCAAUAGGACGGUGUYAAAUGGUCAUGAUGCUAGUUUUUCUUUUCAUAGCAUGUAAUGUAUGCAAGUUUCUGUCUCUUGGUUCUGUUUGCCUGUUGAAUUGUGAUGUUUUGCUUACCAAUUUCCCAUURCGGUGACAAGAACACUAAAGAGAAUUGAUAUUUAGUCAUGCAUUAGAUAGAAAACAUUUUUGUCUAGUGUAUCAGGUAAAUGGUCAAUUUUAUUAAUUUUACUACUUUGUAAGCCUUUUUCUGAUGGAUUAUUUUUUGUUUUGUUUUGAAUACUAUACAAAUUACAAUACAACAUUUUCUUCGUGUUUGCUGAUUUUAAUUUCUUAACUUGCUGUUGAUUGAGACCCACAUAUCAUCAUGUUAUUCCCUCACUUUAGAUACUUACAGCCGGUGCCUAGCAUCAUAGAUUAGUGCAAAAUUUUUAGAUUUUGAAUAAUUAGUACCCUUCCUUGUAAUUAUUUUUGUGGCUCUGUUGGUUGCUCUGGGUUUUGGGCUUUUGUAUUUACCAAUUCAUCCUUGUUGUGAGUGCUAUUUCUUAUUAAAGAAUUGUAUUUGGCUUGGAUUUUAUGCAAUAUGUUGGUGUCUAAUGGUCAUGAUGUUAGUUUUUCUUUUCAUAGCCUUUAAUGUAUGCCAAUUUAUAUCCGUAAGUUUUAUUUGCUUGUGGGUUUGUCAUGUUUUCUUCCUUUUUCAUUUCCAUAUAUUGACAAACUUUACCAACUUACAGUUGAUAUCAAAAUAUGUCAUAAGAAACUUACAUUUCUUUGUCUCUAAACAACAUAGAUCUAGACGAAAAGAUGCGAGAUGUGCUUUGCAAUUAUAGAGAUGAGUGAGGUGUAAAUGAUUCUCUCUUUCAAUUUCUUCAAGCAUGGCUUUUUAUGUUAAAGAACAUCAAAAUCUCAUGCGGUGGUUCAGAUCAGUUGGCUCAUUCAUCAAUGAGCACAAGAGAAUUGAUACAAGAGUGCUAAAGAGAAUGGAUAGUUGCCAUGCGUUGGAUAGGAAAAAUGUUUGUCCAAAUUCUAGAUUUCGUGGAAUUCAUGGUUCCAUCUCCAUAAUUGGUUAGGUGUAUUAGGUAAAUGGUCCUAGUUCAUUUAAUUAUACAAUUUUGUAGGCCACUAGCUGUUGUUGUUGUGUUUUUUUUUUCUUUGCUGCAAAAGUGAUUAACAUAUUGAAUUCAUAAAUCAAUUACUAUAUGUUGUAGUUUCAUUUCUGUGGGCUCUGUUGCAAACUUUUUGUGGUUUUGUUUUGGGUAGACUAUAAAACUCUUUUUUAUAGAACUGGUAUUGGUGUCUUUUACUUAUAUCUUUAAGUUUUAGAUUCAUCUGUACAUGAUUAGUAUCAUUGUUGUGAAGUCUUGAUUUAUGUUUUAUUUGUUUUGUACAUAAAAACACUAGAACUGGUAUCAGAGUCUUUUACUUAUAUCUUUAAGUUUUUCAAAUUUCAUCAGAAUAUAUCUGUAAGUUUUUCAAAUUCCAUUGGAGUGUAAUUUUUAUGCAAAAAUGCAUAUUAGAAUUCAGCACACUUCAUACGUGUGAUUAACUUUACCAAAUUGUAAUUCGCAUCAAAGUUUGAGUGAAUGUUUUUUCCUUUCUGAAGUUUUUGACAGGUAGAAUGAAAUGCAUUGAAGGAUAAAUUUUUUUAAUUAAAAUUUAGUGGUUCUGUUCAUAUAUGUUUCCCCUCCCUCCGUUCUUUCUCUAUUUCUUCAGCCAUAAGGGGAAAAAGUGAUGGAGAAAGUAGAUCCUCCUCCCUUCCCUACCAUAUUGAUCUGCAAGGUUGUUUUUUUUCCCUUUUAAAAAUUGAUCCGGAAGUUGGGGGAUGAUUUUAGUCAGGGGAGACUUUUGGUGGGAUAUGUAGCGGGGUAUUGAAGUUCUUUUUAUGGGUGUUAAAAUUUAAUGAUGAACUGAAGAUGGUAAUAGAAUUAGCCUUGAGUUGAGAUUCUACUGUCGCUGGCCGAGUUGGUUGACUCAUAGUAAGUUCACUCUCUGCAUCUGUAGCUGGCCGAGUCAUUUUUGCAGUGGAGUAGCAGAGUUCUGUGGUGAAGACUAGAGUUUUUAGACCGUCGGGCCUUCAGGGAAAAGGGUCAAUGUUCAUGCAUUGCUGCUCUCCACCAUCCAUUACGUUGGGGCCUAUACCUUAGUGAUGAUGGCGUUGGCAAAGAAGUAGCAACUAAAAUUGCAACUAAUAUGAAAACCAAUAGAGCGGUUUGAAUUAUGUGAUUUCGAUUUCCAUCUGACUCCUCAUCGAUCCUCGGCGUCCGCCUUAUGCCUAGGGUUAUCUUAUCCCGCGAUCUUCUGUUUUUUAAGGUUUUUGAAAAUGCGUGCUUUUUCAUUAUGUAGCGCAAAGAUUGUGAAAAGUUGUGAAAAGUAGCGCAAAGAUUGUGAAAAGUUGUCAGGAAAGUGUCUACGACAGAGGCCAUGAUAGAUUUGAUGGGAAUGAUACUUUUGAUUGAGAAAGGAAGAAAUCUUGAGUAUCACUGGUCGCAUGGCUGUGGAUGCAUCCCAACCAAUGGGGGAAGAGAGCCUUGCCAAAUGGCUGCUGCUUUUGUAUUUGACUAGGAAAACCACAAUUAUCAUAAUUCAUAUGAAGCAUGAAUUUCCUCACUUGCCGAAUGGGUAAUCUAUUCAUGCUUCUUUUGUAUGUCUUCACUGAUCUUGAUAUAAUAUAGUGAUGCCGCCACCAGCCUUUUAAUGAUAUUGUUGCCUGAAUAACCACUUGUUUCAUAUAAAGCAUGAAUUUCCUUACUUAACUGCAUCACUUGAGAAAAUAAUCCUUAUUCUAGGAUGAUAAGCAAGCUAAGACUCGUGUGUAAAAUGAGAUAUAUUCAGAUUGAAAGCUUGAAUGACGCUCUAGUUCCUCUGUAUCAAAAUUUCCAAAUCGUAAUAAGAUAUAACAGGAAAUUGCCCAUAAUUUUUUUUUUCGAAAUUCAGUAUUGAGGAACCCUAACCCUAAGAUGAUUUUUGUGUGGGAUGAAUAAUUUUCUUUGUUUUGCAGAGUCAACCAUCCAGAUUUGUUCCUUUUCAAUUUCAUUUGUUUUACAGCAAUGAAGGCUAUCGGUUUCUCCAGUCUCUCACUCUUUUUCCCUCAAUCUCGCCUUCUCUCACUCGAUUAACCCACUUUCCGAACCUUCUACUUGAUCUUCGUGUUUGCCGCCUAAUCUCGAUUUUUAGUUUCUUUUGUUUGAAUCCAAACCAAAGACAAAAACUUUAGUUUGAAGCAUUUGAUCAGGGACUACUGAACCAUCAGUCAACUACCCUUUAUAUAUCUGCAGGAAUUUAACAGAAAACCUUUAAUGGAAAUAACUUGUCCUUGAGAUCUUCGCAGCGUCAAAAACUUGAACCAGUUCCUCACCUCUGCUUGGGACCCUUCAGAGUCCAAGCUUAAGUUUUUGGUGGCCUCAUCGAUCUGGGCCCGAUAUGGCGGCAGCUAGUAACCUUGUCUGGGGCACACGUCUUGUGUAGAAUCGAAUUAACAAGAAGAAAAUUAUAAUUUGAUUUAGGUGUAAGAAAACUAAAAAGAGAUCGGUGUUGAUUUGUACUGUUGAGAGUCAAGUUUAUCCGUUGCAGAUUUCUCAUAUUUGUUAUCUUCAAGCAUUCUUCUUCUCUUCAUUUGAGGUUUUUGUUGCAAGUUGUGUUGUAAACAAGAGUAUCCCACUUAAUUGGUUAUGACAUAUGUUGAGGUACUGGAUCGCAGGUAGAGAGAAAAGAGAAUAAUGGAUUGACACAUGAAAUAACUAGUAGCUGAACCUUAUGAUUCUUGAAGGAAUUUUAGAUCUGAAGGAGUUUUUUCUCGGUUCUAAUCGUUGCCUUGGUCUCGGUUUGGAGGGUUGGUAAUCUCUUAGGUCUCGAAUUGGCGGGUUCUAAUCUCUAUAUUCUUUGGCAGUUCCACCGCUUCGAUCAUCUCUUCCUUCUUCUUCAUCCCGUCGACGGGAGCCGUUGUUUCUCCGUCCUCUGUCUAUGGCCUCCGAUUCAAAYUGUGGUGGUCGGAGGGAUGUUAGGGUUCGACAACCGAGGGAGAGGCGSCACAAAAGUUCCCAUCCCUAGGUUUUCGAUUCCGUUGGUUUUGUCUAUCAUACACAUGUCCGAUCCGUGAUGUGAAUUUAGGYGCACUGAAAGAUCUCAUAGGAGAGAGUAGUUUCUCAUGCUGCAGUGUGUUGUACUGGUAAUUAUCUAUCUACUCACUAACCGCCAUUUUCUUUCCAAUUCAUAUGCAAAUCUUCGCCCAUAUUCUUGAAUGUUCUGUUCCAGGUUAAGGUCAUAUCAAAUUCCAUGAAAAAUGUCAUGACCGGUGUUGGAAUUGUCUUCUUUCUCUUGUUAUUCCUUUAUGUUAAAGUUUAUUUGCUUGAUCUGAAAUUACGUUGGUGUCCUGUCUWUCAUACACAUGUCCAUAUACUUCUCAACCUYGUGUUAGGGUUYGUUUGUUAUUYUUUUCUGAUCUCAUUUAUCGGUUUUCAGUYAGGGUUUUAUCCAMUCUCUCACUCAAUCUCUCUCAUUAUCAAUCUAUUACCGGUUUGAAAGUACAGAAAAUCGUACUGUAAGUUUGUUCUUGGUUUCGUAGGUUCUAAUUGCAUGGGCCUCGAUUUGGAGGGUUUGUAGUCUCUUGGCUUCUGAUUUGGAGGUUUCUCAAUCCCUAGAUUCUCAAGUUUGCAGAAACUGGUAUCAAAUGUAACCGAUACUCAGUCGAAUUGGAACAAGAAAGUUGUCCUUGAAGCCAGGGGAGAAUAACAGCAGGAAACAAAAAACAGGAAGAAAACAAGGAAGUUCUUCAUGUUCUUGGAACUCAAAGCUGAACCGAAUUGCCCUUGAAGCCAGGGGAAGGUUCUAAUCAAUGCCUUGGUCUCGGUUUUGAGGGUCGGUAAUCUCUUAGCUCUCGAUUUGGCGGGUUCACAAUCCCUAUAUUCUCAAUUUGUUACGGACUCGCUUCUGGUUGAUCAAGAAUGGAUUCUCCUACCCAUAACUUCAUUUGAGGAGGUAUGUUGCCAAACUUUUCAUAUCUAUUUAUAAAUAUGAUAAAACAAUUAUUGUGAUGAUUCAAUAACGGUAUACCGAUCAUAAUUUGUUAUUUUAAUUUAAAAACAUAUUUUGUUAUUUGCCUUGUAGUAAUAUGGUGUCUUAUCGGUUCCGUUACUAGUAAUAAAAAGUUAUUGGAAUAGGGGAACAUUUUGCUUUUAAUUUUAGCCAAAUUCUGUGCCAUCUAUGAGAUCAGUUUGCUAAGGGGAGGGGUGAUCUAUGCCGUGGAUCUUGAUAAAUUGCCUUUCAGGUUAUAAUUCUUUUUGUUUUGUAAGAUUAUCAUGUAUUUCCUUGAUGGUAUACAAUAUAUGUAUGACAUGGACUUAUAAUUCUUUUUGUUUUGUAAGAUUAUUAUGUAUUUUCUUGAUGGUAUAGAAUAUAGUAGGGGUGUAAGAUUGUUGGUUCGGUUCGGUUCGGUUCCAUAAAUGAAAACCAACCCGAACAAAUUCGGUUAAAAACCGAACCGACACGAUCGGUUUUCUAAAUUUUAUUUUUAAAUUUGUCCCUCUGCUUUCUAGUCCCCUUAUUUGAUAAAUAAAUUAAAAAAAAAGGUUUAUAAGAUGCUCUAAAAAUAAAUGAAAGAAAAAAUUAAGAAAUUAAAAAAUCUUCAAGAUAUUCCAACAAAUCAUAUCUGGAUAAAAUCUCACUUCGAUUCUUGUGCUUCCAACCUUUCCAACCCUUUAGCUUCUCUCUCUCCUUUCUUUCUGCAAUUUCUUCUAGAGAGAGAGAACCUCACCCUUUCCAACCCAUUAGCCACUCUCUCCUUUCUUUCUGCAAACAAAAACUUGAAAUCCAAAUGUGUGGAAAUUUUUGCCCCAUUUUUCAAAAUCUUCCAUUUUUUGCUUCCUCUGCUCUUCGGAUCUGAAAUAAUCUAACCCUUUUUGUUGGAUUCUUACUUCUCAUGUGAUUUGGCAUAUGGGUCACCUCCACCAAUAUGGAGGUGGGUUGUUCAAACUUC